UACGUAGGGGCAAGCGUUGUCCGGAUUAUUGGGCGUAAAGAGCGUGUAGGCGGCUAGGUAGGUCCGCUGUUAAACUCGAGGCUUAACCUCGAGAGGUCGGUGGAAACCAUCUGGCUAGAGUCCGGAAGAGGAGAGUGGAAUUCCUGGUGUAGCGGUGAAAUGCGCAGAUAUCAGGAAGAACACCCGUGGCGAAGGCGGCUCCUCUGGGACGGUACUGACGCUGAGACGCGAAAGCGUGGAGCGAACAGG
rnacentral:rRNA from 1 species